rfam:Stegodyphus mimosarum contig17867, whole genome shotgun sequence.
GCCUUCGUGGUGUAAUGGUUAGCACACUCGGCGUGUAUUUUGAGAGGUCCAGGUUCGAGUCCCGGAGAGGGCA